CAGCCGCCGCGGUAAUACGAAGGGUGCAAGCGUUAAUCGGAAUUACUGGGCGUAAAGCGUGCGUAGGCGGUGAGUUAAGUCUGCUGUGAAAUCCCCGGGCUCAACCUGGGAAUGGCAGUGGAUUCUAGCUCGCUAGAGUGUGUCAGAGGAUGGUGGAAUUCCCGGUGUAGCGGUGAAAUGCGUAGAGAUCGGGAGGAACAUCAGUGGCGAAGGCGGCCAUCUGGGACAACACUGACGCUGAGGCACGAAAGCGUGGGGAGCAAACAGGAUUAGAUACCCCGGUAGUCCCUGUCUCUUAUAC
rnacentral:rRNA from 1 species